AAAAGCCCUCUUAUCUCCCAAAAAAAAUCCAACAACCACAAACUCCACAAAUCCAAUUUCUCUUCAUUGAUUUUGUUUUUGUCAAGCUCCACUCCAUCAAGUGUCAUAUAUUCAAGAAAAAAACAAGUUUAAGAUCAACAAGAGCGCUCAUGUUUCAUCAAGUAGUAAUGUCGGUGAUUGUGUUGUGAAUCUAGAAAAAAUAGCUUGGACAAGAACCAUCUUCAAUGGAGUUAUAUGAGGAAACUCGCAUAAAUAAGAAGGGUAGAGCAUAUGUCUUGUUGUA